rnacentral:rRNA from 1 species
UACGAAGGGGGCUAGCGUUGUUCGGAAUUACUGGGCGUAAAGCGCGCGCAGGCGGUCUUCCAAGUCAGUGGUGAAAGCCCGGAGCUCAACUCCGGAACUGCCAUUGAAACUGUUAGACUUGAGGAUGAGAGAGGUGAGUGGAAUUCCCAGUGUAGAGGUGAAAUUCGUAGAUAUUGGGAAGAACACCAGUGGCGAAGGCGAUCUUCUGGCUAUUACCUGACGCUAAGGCUCGAAAGCGUGGGGAGCAAACAGG